CUUGGUCAUUUAGAGGAAGUAAAAGUCGUAACAAGGUCUCCGUUGGUGAACCAGCGGAGGGAUCAUUACAGAGUUGCAAAACUCCCAACCCUUUGUGAACGAACCUACCAGUUGCCUCGGCGGCGAGCCUUUCAGGCGGACCGCCGAAGGAAUACAAACUCUUUGCAUUAUAGUAUCUCUGAUUACUUAUUCAAUAAGUUAAAACUUUCAACAACGGAUCUCUUGGUUCUGGCAUCGAUGAAGAACGCAGCGAAAUGCGAUAAGUAAUGUGAAUUGCAGAAUUCAGUGAAUCAUCGAAUCUUUGAACGCACAUUGCGCCCGCUAGUAUUCUGGCGGGCAUGCCUGUUCGAGCGUCAUUUCAACCAUCAAGCCCUAGGCUUGUGUUGGAGCCCUGCGGCUGCCGCAGCCUCCUAAAAACAGUGGCGGGCUCGCUAUCACACCGAGUGCAGUAGUUUACUCUUCGCUCAGGGCGUGUGGCGGGUGCUGGCCGUGAAACCCCCUACUUUUUAAGGUUGACCUCGGAUCAGGUAGGAAUACCCGCUGAACUUAAGCAUAUCAAUAAGCGGAGGA
rnacentral:rRNA from 1 species